rnacentral:rRNA from 1 species
GUACCUGUUCCCCCCCUGGACGGGUAUUUUAACCAGAAAAGCCAAGGGCUUAAAUUACGUGCCAGCAGCCCCGGUAAUACGUAGGUGGCAAGCGUUGUUCCGGAUUUAUUUGGGCGUAAAGCGAGCGCCGGGCGGUUUUUUUAAGUUUUGAUGUGAAAGCCCCCCGGCUCAACCGGGGAGGGUCAUUGGAAACUGGGAGACUUGAGUGCAGAAGAGGAGAGUGGAAUUUCCAUGUGUAGCGGUGAAAUGCGUAGAUAUAUGGAGGAACACCAGUGGCGAAGGCGGCUCUUUGGUCUGUAACUGACGCUGAGGCUUGAAAGCGUGGGGAGCAAACAGGAUUAGAUACCCUGGUAGUUCACGCCGUAAACGAUGAGUGCUAAGUGUUGGAGGGUUUUCGCCCUUCAGUGGUGCAGCUAACGCCUUAAGCACUCCGCCUGGGGAGUACGACCGCAAGGUUGAAAAUCAAAGGAAUUGACGGGGGCCCGCACAAGCGGUGGAGCAUGUGGUUUAAUUUGAAGCAACGCGAAGAACCUUACCAGGUUUUGACAUCCUUUGACCCCUCUAGAGAUAGAGGUUUCCCUUUGGGGGCAAA